UUUGUUUAUUUCAAUUAAAAAUCUUUCCUUUUGUAUAAGGAUUAAUCAAAAAUAAGAAAUUUUUUCUAUAAAAGAAAAUUAGCGAUAUAUUUACUAUGUGUCUUAUGUACAUUAUAUGUGCGAUAAACAUACAAAUAAUGGUCAAAUGCAAUACGCUGAUAUAUAUCUUUUCGUGAUAAUUGUUUAGGUUUAGCUAAACACAACUUUCUAAUUUUAUAUACAGUUAAUAAUUAAUAUAAGGAUUAGAAGUAUCCAACUUAAAUUUUUAUAAUAAAAAAUUUUUAUUUUGUUUUAUAUAAAUCAAACAAAUUUCUAGAUUAAUCCUUCUAGAUUAAUGAUGAUUAAGUGACUAAAUAUGUAUAAUUUAUUAUUUAAAACUCGUCAAUAGAUAUUCUACUGUUUAUUAAAAACAUUUUAAUAUUUCUAUAUUAUAAUUUCCUGCCCAAUGAUAACAUUUAAAUGGCCGCAGUAAUCUGACUGUGCUAAGGUAGCAUAAUCACUUGUUUAAUAAUUUUAAACUAGAAUGAACGGAAAAAAGUAAUAUCUAAUUUUAAAUUAAUAAUACAUUGAAAUCAAACAAAAAGUGAAAAUACUUUUUUUAAUCAUAAAAACGAGAAGACCCUAGAAAUUUUUAUUUUAAUUGGGACAAUUCACUUAAUUAAAUAUGUUAACCUUUACUAAAAUUUAAAUAAACUAAAUUACUCUAGGGAUAACAGCAUAAUAAUUACGAAGAGACCUAAUCUAAAUAAUUGAUUAUGACCUCGAUGUUGAAUCAUUUUAAAGUUUAUUCUCGCAGUAGAGAUUUAUUCAUCGUCUGUUCGACGAUUUAAAAUUACGUGAUUUGAGUUUAAACCGUCGAAAGACAGGUUGGAUUCUCUUUUAUGAUUUUAAUAUUAUAGAAGUACCAGUACGAAAGGAAAGUAUUGAUAACUUAUCAGUUAUAAAGUAUGACUAAAUGAAUUUUACUC
rnacentral:rRNA from 1 species